UGGAUCCAGACUUUGAUCAUGGCUCAGGAUGAACGCUAGCUACAGGCUUAACACAUGCAAGUCGAGGGGCAGCGAUGAAGAAAGCUUGCUUUCUUCAGGCGGCGACCGGCGCACGGGUGAGUAACGCGUAUCGAACCUGCCUCAUACUCAGGAAUAGCCUUGCGAAAGUAAGAUUAAUGCCCGAUGUUAUUAGGAUAUCACAUGAUGUUUUAAUUAAAGAUUUAUCGGUAUGAGAUGGCGAUGCGUCCCAUUAGCUUGUUGGCGGGGUAACGGCCCACCAAGGCAUCGAUGGGUAGGGGUUCUGAGAGGAAGGUCCCCCACAUUGGAACUGAGACACGGUCCAAACUCCUACGGGAGGCAGCAGUGAGGAAUAUUGGUCAGUGGACGCAAGUCUGAACCAGCCAAGUAGCGUGCAGGAAGACGGCCCUCUGGGUUGUAAACUGCUUUUAGUUGGGAAUAAAGUGCACCACGUGUGGUGUUUUGUAUGUACCAUCAGAAAAAGGACCGGCUAAUUCCGUGCCAGCAGCCGCGGUAAUACGGAAGGUCCAGGCGUUAUCCGGAUUUAUUGGGUUUAAAGGGAGCGCAGGCGGACCUUUAAGUCAGCUGUGAAAUACGGCGGCUCAACCGUCGAACUGCAGUUGAUACUGGAGGUCUUGAGUGUACACAGGGAUACUGGAAUUCAUGGUGUAGCGGUGAAAUGCUCAGAUAUCAUGAAGAACUCCGAUCGCGAAGGCAGGUAUCCGGGGUGCAACUGACGCUGAGGCUCGAAAGUGCGGGUAUCAAACAGGAUUAGAUACCCUGGUAGUCCGCACAGUAAACGAUGAAUACUCGCGAUUUGCGAUACAGUGUAAGUCGCCAAGCGAAAGCGUUAAGUAUUCCACCUGGGGAGUACGCCGGCAACGGUGCAACUCAAAUGAAUUGACGGA
rnacentral:rRNA from 1 species